AAGAUGUCAUGAUGAUCACAUAGUUCACAUGAUAAUUAAAUGAUAAUAUUUUCGCCCCUAGCUGAAACAUCUC
rnacentral:snoRNA from 1 species